GACGAAGGGGGCUAGCGUUGUUCGGAAUUACUGGGCGUAAAGCGCGUGUAGGCGGUUGCCCAAGUCGGGUGUGAAAGCCUUGAGCUCAACUCAAGAAAUGCACUCGGUACUGGGUGACUAGAGGACCGGAGAGGAUAGUGGAAUUCCCAGUGUAGUGGUGAAAUACGUAGAGAUCCGGAAGAACACCGGUGGCGAAGGCGGCUAUCUGGACAGAAACUGACGCUGAGGCGCGAAAGCUAGGGGAGCAAACAGG
rnacentral:rRNA from 1 species